rnacentral:rRNA from 1 species
UACGUAGGGUGCAAGCGUUAUCCGGAAUUAUUGGGCGUAAAGAGCUCGUAGGCGGUUUGUCGCGUCUGCUGUGAAAACUGGGGGCUCAACCCCCAGCCUGCAGUGGGUACGGGCAGACUAGAGUGCGGUAGGGGAGAUUGGAAUUCCUGGUGUAGCGGUGGAAUGCGCAGAUAUCAGGAGGAACACCGAUGGCGAAGGCAGGUCUCUGGGCAUUAACUGACGCUGAGGAGCGAAAGCAUGGGGAGCGAACAGG